rnacentral:rRNA from 1 species
AGCGAACGCUGGCGGCAGGCCUAACACAUGCAAGUCGAACGAACCCUUCGGGGUUAGUGGCGGACGGGUGAGCAGCACGUGGGAACGUGCCUUUAGGUUCGGAAUAACUCAGGGAAACUUGUGCUAAUACCGAAUGUGCCCUUCGGGGGAAAGAUUUAUCGCCUUUAGAGCGGCCCGCGUCUGAUUAGCUAGUUGGUGAGGUAAUGGCUCACCAAGGCUACGAUCAGUAGCUGGUCUGAGAGGAUGACCAGCCACAUUGGGACUGAGACACGGCCCAAACUCCUACGGGAGGCAGCAGUGGGGAAUCUUGCGCAAUGGGCGAAAGCCUGACGCAGCCAUGCCGCGUGGAUGAUGAAGGUCUUAGGAUUGUAAAAUCCUUUCACCGGUGAAGAUAAUGACUGUAGCCGGAGAAGAAGCCCCGGCUAACUUCGUGCCAGCCGCCGCCGUAAGAC